GAUGAACGCUGGCGGCGUGCCUAAUACAUGCAAGUCGAGCGAACAGACGAGGAGCUUGCUCCUCUGACGUUAGCGGCGGACGGGUGAGUAACACGUGGAUAACCUACCUAUAAGACUGGGAUAACUUCGGGAAACCGGAGCUAAUACCGGAUAAUAUAUUGAACCGCAUGGUUCAAUAGUGAAAGACGGUUUUGCUGUCACUUAUAGAUGGAUCCGCGCCGCAUUAGCUAGUUGGUAAGGUAACGGCUUACCAAGGCAACGAUGCGUAGCCGACCUGAGAGGGUGAUCGGCCACACUGGAACUGAGACACGGUCAAGACUCCUACGGGAGGCAGCAGUAGGGAAUCUUCAGCAAUGGGCGAAAGCCUGACGGAGCAAAGCAGCGUGAGUGAUGAAGGUCUUCGGAUCGUAAAACUCUGUUAUUAGGGAAGAACAAAUGUGUAAGUAACUAUGCACGUCUUGACGGUACCUAAUCAGAAAGCCACGGCUAACUACGUG
rnacentral:rRNA from 1 species